AUCCGGGUUGCGGACAGUGUCUGGUGGGUAGUUUGACUGGGGCGGUCUCCUCCCAAAGAGUAACGGAGGAGCACGAAGGUUAGCUAAUCCUGGUCGGACAUCAGGAGGUUAGUGCAAUGGCAUAAGCUAGCUUGACUGCGAGAGUGACGGCUCGAGCAGGUGCGAAAGCAGGUCAUAGUGAUCCGGUGGUUCUGAAUGGAAGGGCCAUCGCUCAACGGAUAAAAGGUACUCCGGGGAUAACAGGCUGAUACCGCCCAAGAGUUCAUAUCGACGGCGGUGUUUGGCACCUCGAUGUCGGCUCAUCACAUCCUGGGGCUGAAGUAGGUCCCAAGGGUAUGGCUGUUCGCCAUUUAAAGUGGUACGCGAGCUGGGUUUAGAACGUCGUGAGACAGUUCGGUCCCUAUCUGCCGUGGGCGCUGGAGAAUUGAGGGGGGCUGCUCCUAGUACGAGAGGACCGGAGUGGACGCAUCACUGGUGUUCGGGUUGUCAUGCCAAUGGCACUGCCCGGUAGCUAAAUGCGGAAGAGAUAAGUGCUGAAAGCAUCUAAGCACGAAACUUGCCCCGAGAUGAGUUCUCCCUGAGACUUUAAGUCUCCUGAAGGAACGUUGAAGACGACGACGUUGAUAGGCCGGGUGUGUAAGCGCAGCGAUGCGUUGAGCUAACCGGUACUAAUGAACCGUGAGGCUUAACCUUACAACGCCGAAGCUGUU
rnacentral:rRNA from 1 species